rnacentral:rRNA from 1 species
AUUGAACGCUGGCGGCAGGCUUAACACAUGCAAGUCGAGCGGGGACUUCGGUCCUAGCGGCGAACGGGUGAGGAAUGCUUGGGAAUCUGCCCAGUAGCGGGGGAUAACGUUUCGAAAGGAACGCUAAUACCGCAUACGCCCUACGGGGGAAAGGGGGGGAUCUUCGGACCUCUCACUAUUGGAUGAGCCCAAGUCGGAUUAGCUAGUUGGUGGGGUAAAGGCCUACCAAGGCGACGAUCCGUAGCUGGUCUGAGAGGAUGAUCAGCCACACUGGAACUGAGACACGGUCCAGACUCCUACGGGAGGCAGCAGUGGGGAAUAUUGGACAAUGGGCGAAAGCCUGAUCCAGCCAUGCCGCGUGUGUGAAGAAGGCCUUCGGGUUGUAAAGCACUUUAAGCGAGGAGGAAUGGCUGAGGGUUAAUAACCUUCAGCAGUGACGUUACUCGCAGAAUAAGCACCGGCUAACUCUGUGCCAGCCGCCGCAGUAA